rnacentral:rRNA from 1 species
CCUACGGGAGGCAGCAGUGAGGAAUAUUGGUCAAUGGGCGUAAGCCUGAACCAGCCAAGUAGCGUGCGGGAUGAAGGCCCUACGGGUCGUAAACCGCUUUUGCACGGGGAUAACACCCUCCACGUGUAGACGUCUGCAGGUACCGUGCGAAUAAGGGCCGGCCAAUUCCGUGCCAGCAGCCGCGGUAAUACGGAAGGCCCCGUCGUUAUCCGGUUUCAUUGGGCUUAAAGGGAGCGUAGGCGGGCGUGCAAGUCAGCUGUAAAAUCGCGGGGCUCAACCGCGCCCCGCAGUUGAAACUGGGCGCCUUGAGUGCACAACAGGCAGGCGGAAUUCGUGGUGUAGCGGUGAAAUGCAUAGAUAUCACGAGGAACCCCGAUUGCGAAGGCAGCCUGCCGGGGUGCGACUGACGCUGAGGCUCGAAGGUGCGGGUAUCAAACAGGAUUAGAUACCCUAGUAGUC